rnacentral:rRNA from 1 species
CCUACGGGGGGCUGCAGUGGGGAAUCUUGCGCAAUGGGCGAAAGCCUGACGCAGCAACGCCGCGUGUGUGAUGAAGGUCUUCGGAUCGUAGCCGUCAGUAAUAAAUAGUGCGGUACCUCGAGAGGAAGCACCGGCUAACUCUGUGCCAGCAGCCGCGGUAAUACAGAGGGUGCGAGCGUUGUUCGGAAUUAUUGGGCGUAAAGCGCUUGUAGGCGGCUUAUCAAGUCGCGUGUGAAAUCCCCAGGCUUAACCUGGGAAGUGCGCGCGAAACUGAAGAGCUUGAAUGCCGGAGAGGGUCGCGGAAUUCCCGGUGUAGAGGUGAAAUUCGUAGAUAUCGGGAGGAACACCAGUGGCGAAGGCGGCGACCUGGACGGAAUGACGCUGAGACGCGAAAGCGUGGGGAGCAAACAGGAUUAGAUACCCUGGUAGUC